GCUCCCGCGCGGGCCCCACGCAAGCAUUCGCAACCGCGAUGCGCGUACGGCAUGCCGUAUAAGACACCUAUCCGCCUUGGGUGCAAGCUCACCCAAGGCCACCCUCGCAAGGCAGGAACAAGUAAAGACUUUCACCAGUUGUUUGUUGUGCCUGCCCGCCGCAGAAAUUGUUUGAAAUUGUCUCUUCUCCGCUCUCAGCGAUAGUCUUACACCCACAAUGGCUUUCUGGAAGGCACAAAGGGAGUCUAUCCAGCAAAUCGUGGCAGCCAGCGUGGCAGCAGCCCUCAGCGGCAACGCACCGGAGAACGUCACGGAGCACCAAGAAGACGGGUCGCCAGCCCCGCUUGCAUAACAUCCCGCCGGAAGUCGACCUCCCGCCGGAGGAUCGCUUUCCGCCGCAAGCCACGGCUACGCAAGCUAACGCUUACGUGCCACCCCCAUGCGUCCACCCGCAAGGCUAAGUACCUAUGGAUUAGGCCAAUAGCAGAGGCUCCCACCCCACGGGUCUGGGGGAGGGGGGCUCUCGGGUCGUAUUUGCAUUAGCCCCACAGGAUGAGGGCAAACCUCGGCCAAACCAGUACAGGAACGCCCCGGCGAGGUCAGGGGGGAGAUCUCCCACUAGCAUAACCCACGGGUCCCCUGCUUACAAUCCGCAGCCACGCCGCCGGGCCAGUGUGUUCCGGGAAGCGGGCCGCUGUUCAGCGACCCCGCGCAGCACGCAUACACCGCAGCUUGGCCGCCGUACCAUCCUGCCUAUUUAGAAAACAUGCGUGUGUGCGGGUGUAUGCGUGUGUGCGUUUGUAUUGCAUGCGCUUGUGCCUGUGUCCUCCUAGGCUCGCUAGCCGCCGCUCUCUCUCAGCGCGAGCAGAGCACCUGAUUGCCAACUUGGUAGCCACUGGCACACAGCGCAUGUACGCCCCAGGCUGGCGUCAUUCCUGGAGUUCAUUGGUCGCAUGCGCCGCGACGCACAUCACCCAGAUCAGAGCGACGUCCUGCUGUUCGCUGCUGCAAUGUCUCACUCAGUCAGCGCCAGCACUCUGAGAGUCUACCUGGCCGCGAUCAAACACCACCUCCUCCGCAUCGAAGGCCCGGUCGGGGUUACAUCCUCAAGCCGCAUCACAGCCCUGCUCAAGGGCUUAGAGAGGGAGAGAGCGUCGCUUCCCAGGCGUCUGUCAACAUGCCCUCAGCGCCAAGCGUUCACCGUCCACCAGCUGAAGGCUCUCCGCCAGUUCUUGGAUCGGUCCCUGUACUCCCCGGCAGACAGACUACUGCUAUGGGCUGCUCUUACGACAGCCUUCCACGGCCUGCUUGCGUGCGAGUGAGUACACGUCGCUGUCACCACACGGUCCCGGCGGCCUCAAGACACUGAGGCGCGAGCACCUCCGGUUAGCCCAGCAGGAGGCCUCUCUGCAGCUCUAGAGGACGAAGACGUCUCAAUUAACAACAGGUGGGGAGGUAGCGCUGCAUCGCUACGCUGACUCCGCACUAUGUCCCGUCCGAGCCCUGCAGGCUUACGUUCGGUCCAGCAAAUUGAGCAAUGACAAGCAACCCCUAUUCAAGUUUCAGGAUGGUCGCUAUCUCACGCCGAACGGCAUCAAUGCUGUCCUACACAAAGUGCUAGGUCCAAGCAUCAGAAGCUAUUCCUUACGCGCCGGGGGAGCCACACACAUGGCGGAUCGAGGCGCACCAGAGUAUGCCCUGAUGGCUGCAGGCCGCUGGUCCAGCAGGGCACAUCGCACGUACAUUCUCAGGCCCGCAGGCAUGCCACAGCACUACUAGAGCCUGCGUGUCGCAAGCCAUUCGGUACCUUUAUUGGAGGCACGGGUGCUGCCGGUGGGCGCUGCAUAGUGCACGUACAUCGGCACCAUUGAACUAUUCAUGAGUACUAAGAUUUAGUGUUCCGCUGCCAUAGCAACCUAGUAGUACACGUAGCCGUUGCGACGGCGCAGGACCCCGCGGGUCACUUCUGCUGUCCUUGCCUCUCUGAUGUGUGAUAUGUGUACAUCAUUUAUAAUCAUAACCUCAUACUGAGUACAUGUACGUCAUACUUGAUUACCGAUCACAGGCUCAUGAUUAUUCACACUGGAAUAAACGCUUGCGACACCCCA